rnacentral:rRNA from 1 species
AUUGAACGCUGGCGGCAGGCUUAACACAUGCAAGUCGAGCGAGCGGCGGACGGGUGAGUAAUGUCUGGGAAACUGCCUGAUGGAGGGGGAUAACUACUGGAAACGGUAGCUAAUACCGCAUACCAUCAGAUGUGCCCAGAUGGGAUUAGCUAGUAGGUGGGGUAAUGGCUCACCUAGGCGACGAUCCCUAGCUGGUCUGAGAGGAUGACCAGCCACACUGAACCUAAGCCACGGUCCAGACUCCUACGGUAGGCAUCAGUGGGGAAUAUUGCACAAUGCGCGCAUGCCUGAUACAGCCAUGCCGCGUGUGUGAAGAAGGCCUUCGGGUUGUAAAGCGCUUUCAGCGAUGAGGCGUUACUCGCAGAAGAAGCACCGGCUAACUCCGUGCAAGCAGCCGCAGUAAUUC